rnacentral:rRNA from 1 species
CUCGUACCUUUUGCAUCAUGAUUUAGCUAGUAAACUCAAGCAAAGAGAACUUUAGUUUGACCCCCCGAAACUAAGUGAGCUACUCCAAGACAGCCUGAUUUAGGGCAAACCCGUCUCUGUGGCAAAAGAGUGGGAAGAACUUCGAGUAGAGGUGACAGAUCUAUCGAACUUAGUAAUAGCUGGUUGUUUGAAAAAUGGAUAGGAGUUCAGCCUUUUAGCUUCUCACUUCAACACCUUGUUUACAUUUCAGUUAGACUCCAAGAAACUAAAAGAGUUAAUCUAAGGGGGUACAGCCCCUCAGAUAAAGGACACAACCUUCACAGCAGGGUAAAGAUCAUAUUUAACUUAAGGUAGAAUAUCCCGGUGGGCCUAAAAGCAGCCACCCGUUAAGAAAGCGUUAAAGCUCAAAUAUAUAACCUUCCAUCGAUCCUGAUAACAUAAUCUCAUCCCUCUUUUAAUAUCAAACUAUCCGCUGCAAACAGCGGAGAAAUUAUGCUAAUAUGAGUAAUAAGAGGAAUUAAAUUCUCUCCAUGCACAAGUG